rfam:Pseudomonas putida strain TASWS0946 Contig177, whole genome shotgun sequence.
GGCGGGGUAUUGCUCAGCCCGUUUCUGAUCUACGCGGUGCUGGCGCUGCUGCUGACUUUCGCGGUGCGGCUGCUGCUGCGUCUGACCCCGCUGGGGCGCUGGGUGUGGCAUGAAGCCCUGUUCGACACUGCACUG